UCAGUCCGCAUGUUCAUGGUGCAUUCUUUAUGGAAUAUGUUGAGCAAACCUGGAGAAGCUUCAGCUCAAGAUAUUAUUGUUGUCAUUGCUGUGGAUCUUUACCUGAUACACUGACUUGGCUCGGGACCAGCACUCCUGCUGUUGGACAGAAAGACAUCAACUCAGUGACUUGAGAUAUGACUGCACUAUGCUGUUGCUGGUGACUCCAGUUAAUUCUACAAGACGUGCUGUGUAAGUAAACAAACAACAACAGUUUGGUCUGCAUUUCUUGAAAGAUCACAUCCCCCAAACUUAGUUUAGAGAGUCUACACUGUAUAUAGUGAAGUCUGCAAGUUUUCUAACAGCAAAA